UGAGGAAUUUUGCGCAAUGGGGGAAACCCUGACGCAGCGACGCCGCGUGGAGGAUGAAGGCCUUCGGGUCGUAAACUCCUGUCAGAGGUGAAGAAUGCCCGCAAGGGUUUGACGGUAACCUCAGAGGAAGCCCCGGCUAACCACGUGCCAGCAGCCGCGGUAAUACGUAGGGGGCAAACGUUACUCAGAAUUACUGGGCGUAAAGGGUGCGUAGGCGGCUGGGAAAGUCAAGGAUGAAAUCCCGUGGCUCAACUGCGGAACGGUCCUUGAAACUACUCGGCUUGAGGAUAACCGAAGGGAACGGAAUUCCCGGUGGAGCGGUGAAAUGCGUAGAUAUCGGGAGGAACACCUGAGGCGAAAGCGGUUCUCUAGACUACUCCUGACGCUGAGGCACGAAAGCUAGGGGAGCAAACGG
rnacentral:rRNA from 1 species